rnacentral:rRNA from 1 species
CCGCGGUAAUACAGAGGGUGCGAGCGUUGCUCGGAAUCAUUGGGCGUAAAGCGCGCGUAGGCGGCGAGGCAAGUUGGAUGUGAAAGCCCUGGGCUCAACCCAGGAAGUGCAUCCAAAACUGCCUUGCUUGAAUCUCGGAGGGGGUCAGGGAAUUCCCGGUGUAGAGGUGAAAUUCGUAGAUAUCGGGAGGAACACCAGUGGCGAAGGCGCUGACCUGGACGAUGAUUGACGCUGAGGCGCGAAAGCGUGGGGAGCAAACAGG